CUCAAUCUUGCAGCUUAGUCCUCACAAGCCAGAAGAACCCGGAAGCCGAAGCAGGAGGCACAGAUGGUGGCGGAUGUGGGAGCCAGAGCAACAUUGUAGAGACCGACAGGAGAAUGAGUAGGAGCCUCCUGCGUGGAGGGCCACCCCUCUCCAAUCAGCUCUUCAGAGGAAGGACUGGCAGUCCAAAUAGGAAGGAUAAAAGUCUGCUGUUAUUUUGGAGCUCUUUUACAGAGAAUGAUUCUGAGAAGCGGGGAAUUGGAGCUCUUUGCCUGAAGUCACUCAUUUCUAAGGGACACCGCCUUCCUCGGUCCUCAGCCCCGGUGUUACACUGCCCCCUGCAGGGUAGUUGGAGGUACCUCGGCUGUACAACUGCCCCCUUGUUUUUCAUCAGCCUGAUGGCACCUGUUACAGACUCUCGUGUAGCCACACGGGAAGGAGGCUGUGGGGCUGCAGGGGUGUUUCAUCCUCAUCUUCCGUCUGCACAUCUGGAUGCUUCUGUCCGGCCGUACAUGUCUGCCCAUCUGCACAUCUGGAUGCUUCUGUCCGGCCGUACAUGUCUGCACAUCUGCACAUCUGGAUGCUUCUGUCCAGCCAUACAUGCCGAAGCAGAAAGACAAAGAAAGCCUACAGGCCAGUAGAGGACCUGCCUUGAGAGUUUUGUUUGUUCCUUCAGUGUUACAAUCUCUGGAAGAACUCCGCUGUGAGCGGUGGUUCUGAUCUAGAAAGCUCUUCUUCCUAACGGUUUUAAACCAGAAGUCAAAAGCCCAGAGCAGGAAGAACAGACUGUGCUCGAGGGCUUAGUCCUACAACACCGCCUGUCAAGGUCGGCUGCUGCUCAGCUCAGCUAGCAUCUUUUAGAAAUGCCUUCUAAGACGAAAACAUCUUCUCAUUUUUUCAAAGAAGCUGAAAAUCCAGAUGGUUUGGGUGAAAUUCUCUAAUUUUUAGAACACUAUGCAGGGCGAACAAAAAUAUUCUUGGUCAGAAUUUUUUUCCACCGGGCUCUAGUUUGAAAAGUCACAUGACAGAACUCUACUGUGCAAACAGGGAAGGAGAUGGAUGGAGCCCCAUGACCGCCCUUGUGGCCCCACGGGGGAUGAGCAGGUAAAUACUGGAUGAUGGAAGAUGAAGGAAAAUAUGGACAAACCAGUUCUGGAAAAAGCAUGAGAAGGUUGGUCAGCCUGACAUCCCUGCAUGCAAUGCUCUGAGAGGCAAGGCUGGGAGAAGCAUUCCUCAGAAAGCAGGACCCUAUGUCGGGAGGACGUUUUCCCUAAAGGGCACAAGAAGACUCUCAGGAUCCAGAAGCAGGAAAGCCACUCUGGGGGAGGAGCAGAGACCCACGAAUUGGGGAAAGUCUGCUAUAUAACUGCAAUGUAUUUUCCCGACAAAGAUGUCUCCUUUGACAUCCACCUUGUUGUUUGCAGAGGCAACCUCUGACAGCUGGUUUAUGGGGAUUUUAAUUUUAGUCCAAGUUUAAUUGCACAACAAAGCAUUCGAAGAACCAAAAAGAUGACAGGCAUAAAACAAUUGUGUUUCACUGCGUGGGGACUAUAGCUCGAAAGUGCAAUAGAGAAAGAAUAAAGGUUUAUGCUUUAAAGGGAAAGAGGAAAAUAUUAUCUAGACCUUACAGACACCAAUUCUGCAAGUAUGUGUGACCCUUAAAAUGACAGAGAAGCUGCAGAGCAAGUGUCAGUCUUUCUAAAAUGAAAAGAAACACGAGAGCAACCCGUAGGCUUACAUGCUACUAUUUUUAACCUAGUCAAUGCUCAACAUACUUGGUUACUCCAGGAAUCCAUCAACAAAGAGAGCCAGUCCUGUGACUACAUCUAUUUUAACUGGCCGAGUCAGAAUAGACAGCACCUAGUCUGAACUGCCUCUUCACACAAAUGCAUGUCGAACAGGGUCACAAACAGGCCUUGUUCCGUGCAGACAUGGUUAGUGCAGGAAGAAAGCUGUGGACCCCUAAGGAAGGAUGUAUUGCUUCCCUCCAGUGCUGCUUGGGCUCAGUGGGUGGCUGGUUUCUAUACACGUCUUUGGGGCAGACUAGACCUGAGUGUCUGUGUGCUAAUGACUGUGAACUUGAAGCUAUGUAUCGGGCUGUCAAUCAUUCCUCAAAUUUAGGACCAACGCAUGGGCUGGCAAUUAGCCUGAAUAAAACUAAGGUGAUGUUUUCUGUUGCUCCAGGCAACUCAGGCAAGCAACCAAAAAUUACCAUCAGUGGCUUGGAGUUAAAAGCCCCAUCCAAUUCCCCUGCCUUCUGUAAUGACGGAUGAUCAGCUUUUCUUUCUGCUGGGUCUUUGAGCAGCUACCCAUCGUGGAGCUCAUUAUGCAACAAGAAGGAACAACCUGUAUUAAUAAAGCCAACGUAUUUGGGGGUAGCUGACAGGAUCUGUGGUGAUGAAGCCUCUGAUUACAGAUAAAAUGCCAACGCACAAGAUAGCCCCACCGUCGGCUGUACCUGUGCUCAUGGGGUUUCGUUCAUCACCAUGACCUCCGGGGAGAAAAUUAACUCUGCUCCAGACAGAACGACAAACAGCAGCACUGGUCAUCUUGUUGGGGCACAAGCUGCUCACAGCCCUGGACAGGACAUUUGAGCAGCAUUUUAAAAGCAGGACACGAAGUCCAUUCAAGGAAAAAAGAUAACAAAUGCUUGAAGAAGAACGUAAGACGAUCUAUAAAAAUCACAGCUCCUUACAUGGGUUUCUAAUAGCCUCACGGUGUUUGCCUUCGGAUCCAAACUUCAACAGUGUGGGGGGGGAGGGGUUUCAAAGCCUAAUUUCCUACACUGUUUGGCUUCUUUUAUUAGCAAAUACUUCAUAUAUAACCUAUAUAAAAUG